CAAGUUGGCUAAGCAGUCGCUAGAAACGUCAUGUUUCUGGAGGAAAGUCCGGGCUCCAUAGGGCAAGUUGCCAGGUAACGCCUGGGGGGCGAAAGCCCACGGCAAGUGCAACAGAAAGCAAACCGCUCCGAAUUUAUAACGGAGUAAGGGUGAAAGGGUGCGGUAAGAGCGCACCGCGCUGGUGGUAACAUUCAGCGGCGAGGUAAACCCCAGCUGGAGCAAGGCCAAAUAGGAAUCCUAAAGGCGCGGCCCGCGCUGGAUUCGGGUAGGCUGCUUGAGGUGGAUGGCGACAUCCAUCCCAGAUAGAUGACUGCUCACGACAGAACCCGGCUUAUCGGCCAGCUUGGGAC
rnacentral:RNase_P_RNA from 1 species